CAAUGUGAAUGUAUUCUUAGAAAAUGUGAAUCUGUGGUCUGGAAGAAUCAACAAGGUCACUAAAUGUGCAGUACUGUAAUUCUAUAAUCACGCGUCUGUAAACCAGAACUAAACAUACAUUAAAUUAACUGGCUGAAACUGAUUCAAAACACUCACUUAGCUCACAAAUGAGGAUCAUUUUAGUCCUCAAUAUGCCCCUGAAUAUAUAAUCUAAAUAAAUCUCAGUGUGGUGGAAAAUAUUGGUUACAGAAGCAGCUGCAAGGCCUUAAAAUCAGCACAUUGCCUCUCUAAAUCCUUGUCACGUCUGACACAGUAUCCUGCCACGGGUCGCUAGUCAGUAAGGAGAACAUCGCUGCCAGCUCCUCACUUUCCCGUCCUUCCUCCUGGGCUUUCCUCACCAAAGCAAACAACGAUAAGAUCAGAGUUUCUUACAAAUGCUUAUCAUCUGGACUUUGUGAGAGGUGUCUGUAGCCUGGGAGACAGCAGACUUCACUGCACCCAGUGGACUCCAGCAACACCAGGUUCUCCAGUUUGAUCCCACUGGCCACCUGCCAGCCGUCAAAGCCUUCAAAUUACUCUCACUCAUAAUGCCAAAGUCAAACCGCUCCAUGAGCUUUGGUGCCAUUGACCGAGGUCACCAGACCUUUUUCACCUAAGCAUGAUGCCUGCUGGGCACCUGCCCACGCUUGCCAAUAGGAAACAACCAAAGUUGAUAAUCUCACACACCUGCAGGUCCUGGAGCACAGCUGCUGCCCGUUUACCACUGCGCUGAAAGAGCACACGAGCAGCAGGGAAGACAUCGACCCAGUGGCUGCCUAACCUCUCUAACCCCCACAUACAGCAGGCAGGCAUCCCCUUUGUAGCUGGGGCUGAGGGGUCGCGGGCCAGACUGAGCAGCAGCUCAUGUGAAAUGGGGUCCACCAGGUUGAGAAAAGCAGC